UGUAUUACCUAUCUACUGUAUAUCCAAAACAUUCCACUUCCGGGAUUGCUCUCCUUCUGCCCGAAAUUCCGCCUGAUAUCACUCUUUUCGGAUGUCCUGUUAAUUUUAUUUUCCCUUGUGUUGUC